rnacentral:lncRNA from 1 species
UUUCAAAUAAAAUAAUUCAUUCUGAUGUUGCCUGACCUUGUUGAUUUAGUCUUCAUUUUUCUUAUUUCUUUUAUAGCUCUCUAGCCUUUCUUUUCCCUUUUCUUUUGACAAACAACUAGAGGGGCACCAUGCUCUUUUCUUAUCCUUUUACUUCUUUGGCUUGACAAAAAUAACACAGCAUAAAAUGCACCUAGCAUUAUGAUGUUUGUUCUUGUUCCUCUUCUGAUAAGGACUAAAUGUAUAAUUAAGGAAAAUGGUGUUCACAACAGUACCUAG